UUUUUUUUUUUUCUUUUUAGGGCCAUACCUGUGGCAUAUGGAAGUUCCCAGGAUAGAGGCCGAAUCAGAGCUACAGGUAUCAGCAACACUGGAUCCGAGCAGCAGCUUACAGCAAUGCUGGAUCCUUAACUUACUAAGUGAGGGCAGGGAUAGAACCUGCAUCUUCACAGAGACAACAUUGGGUUUUAACCCACUGAGCCACUACAGGAACUCCUCCCUGUCUCUUGAGAAAGAAAGAUUUUGGAUCACUCUACCAACUAUAAUAAGAUUAUAAUAAAGAAUAAUGAAGUAAAUUAUAAACUGAGGUUGGAUAUACAGAGACCAAAAUUUGAUGACCACAGCUAAAGCUGGGAAGCAUUGAGGAAGGAGUGAAUACAGGAAGAGUGGCAGCAUAAGAGCUCUUUCUUUUCAUGAAUAUGGAAUGGAUUCCUCACUCGGAUUAAGUCUAGGUGGGGCUAUAGUUGGUAAUGGACUUUCUCAGGACUGUACAUGCAAAUAAUUUUUGGCCUUGAUGUGGAUAUCAAAGUUGAUAUCUGGGUACAAGAGACUGAGGAGUAAAUACUCCUACCAAAAAAAAUCAAAAUAUAGAAGUGCAUAAAGUAAAUGUUACAAUUCCCUUCUCUUUCUCCCAUCCAGCUCUUUCUAAUCCUACACCUAAUGUAGUCACUAUAACAUCAAAUGUUAAGAAUUUGGCAAAUAUUCUUAUAGGGAUUUUCCGAGGUAUAUAAAAUCCUUCUCAGAGAAAUAAAGAUCAAAUCUUUUCAUGCAGAGUCCAUUCUAAAAAGUUCAAUUCAGGAUAUAAUAUGAACACAAUUGGGGAAUAUAAUGUUUAGAUGUGAAAGGAACUAUACAAAUUAAUCAAAAUCUUUCAUCUUACCAUUGAAGAUUCUCGCAGUUGCCGCAGGUCAGUAGUUUACACAAAGCUGAGUUACCCCAUCUGCUCAGGGUCUCACAUGGCUGAAAUUAAGGUGUGAGCCAAGCCAUGUUCCUUUCUGGAGUUUAGGAUCCUCCUCAAAGUUCAUAUGAUUGCUGACAAAAUUCAGUCUCUUGGAGUUACGGGAAUGAGGACCUGGUUUUCUUGCUGGCUGCUCUCAACUUCUAGAGGCCACAAAGCCCUCUCAGAACAUGGCUGCUUACUAUUUCAAGGCCAGCAGGAGAAUCUCAUUGAAAGGGCCUAAUUGUAAAUAGGUCAGGUUUACCCAGGAAAAUCUCCUUUGUGAUUAACUCAAAAUCAUCCACAUUUGGAUGGUGAAAAAUCUCUUCAUCUUUGCCAUCUGGUUGAAUCUAAUCACAGUAUGAUAUCCCAUCACAUUUAGAGGUCCUCUGACAUGCAAGAGGAGAGGAUAAUACAAGGAUGUGGGACCCUCAGAGAACAGCUUAGAAUUCUGUGUUGACUCCAGUAUCAGGGAAUCAUCUCAGAAUUCUGCCUAGUACAACCCCUAUAUCUAAAGCUUGGCCCUUUUCAGUGCUUCAAGUAGAAAGCAGGCUGACAUAGAGAACAGGCUUGUGGUUGGCAAGGGGGCCUGGAUGUGGGGGAGUGUGGGGAGGGAAGGAUUGGGAGUUUGGGAUUAGUAGAUGCAAACUAUUAUAUAUAGAGUAGAUAAACAACAAGGUCCUACUGUAUAGCACAGGGAAGUGUAUUCAAUAUACUGUGAUAAACCAUUAUGAAAAUGAUUCUAUCUGAACCCCUUUGCUGUACAGUAGAAUCUAAACACCACAUCGUAAAUCAAUAAUAAUUCAAUAAAACUAAAAAAAAAAGAAAAAAGCUUGAGUAUGUAUCUUUGUUCCUCCUAGGAUGCUAGGUACACUACCUAGCCCUGGAAGACUACCAGAACUCUGCAUGGCUUCCUAGUCUAGUAACUAUAACUUGAAAAUUAGCAAUUAUCAGAAAAAUAAAUCUGGGCUGAAUGCUGGGCUCCCAUCUCUGCUUCCCUUCUUUCCAGGAUACUUGGCCCCUCUUGUGUUCCCUGCCUUGGCUAGGAGCCAAUACACAUUGGCUAAAUUUAUUUAUUUACUUAUUUAGAAAAAUAGCAUCCAGAUUGUCUGGUGGUUCUUAUCAGGAAUGCUAAUCUAAAACAAGAUGGACCACCAACAUUAGAACCUGAAAUUGAUUCUCUGGGUUUCUAAUGAGAUUUUAUUUGCAAACAGUGAAUUUACAAGAUGCAACACACCAAUAAGAAGCUAGCAAGUGGUGACAAUUGAAAAAAGUUAACGUUUUUAAAUCAGUAACAUCUGUGAUAAAUUAAUUAGAGACCAGAUUUUGAAAAUCUACUUAAAUGUAAAUUAUGUUGUGAAUACUUCACACCACCAAGGACAUUAAGUGAAAAUUUUAGUGUUUGUAUCAGACAUGAUAUUUUUUUUAAUGUUCUUUAAAAUAACCAGUAAUUUCCAUGUUAUUAUUUUUCCUUGCUAAGCGAUCCUUAAUAGAGGCAGCUUUUAUUUCGAGGCUUAAACUAGUCCAGUGAGCUUUGAGAAUUAAGAAUCUCACAGGAUUAUUCCAAUGUAAAAUUUUUAUGAAACAAAAUAGAUGUUCAGCAUAAUUACCACCAAGUUUGGAUCCUUACAGUUCCAUUCAUUAUUAAUGUCCAAACAUAAGGAAGAGGCUUCCGUGUGCCCAAUUAAUAAAGGUACUCAUUCUCCUCAGUUUUAAACAAUUGACAGCUCUCCAUGUGGGGUAGUUAACAUCAUCCACCUCAGUGCUACUCAACAAGUGACGAAUGGGCACUAUUUGCAACACCUGGGAGCUUAUCUAAAAUGAAAAUUCUUAAGGGCCCCACCCCAGACCUAUUGAAUUAGAAUCCCUAGGGGUUAGAGCUAGGACUCUGGCUUCACCAUUUCUCCAGGAGAUGCUUUGGCACAUGAAAGUUGAGGAAGUAUUUAUCUAGCUCAUCUUAAUAGGAGCAGGAAUUUUUAUUUUAAUAAUAAUAAAACAGAUCAAAGCACAUAGAUGAAUUUUUCCCCUUAUAUUUCUGUCUUUUGAAUUAGUCCAUAAGCUGUCCCAUCAAGAAGGAAGAGGGUAAUAAAUCUACCCCUAUGCUUGGACAUGCUUCUGAGACACAGGGCAAAGGGCCCAAGCCUGAAUGUAGAUUCGAGUGUUAUUUCUCAUUUCCACCCGAGGGUUUGGGUCUAUAAAUUUUGUCAGAGUGCAAACAACUGAACCAUAAAUCAGUGAUACUAGCAUUUCAGUCUUGCAGAUUAUAUAGUGAGGAGUUUAAAAGUGGAUUUUUAAAAAUAUAACAGUGAAACAGGUUUCCAACAUACCAAGAAUUGCCCAGAAUAAAAGCAUAACCCUGAAAAUAAAUUCAUAACCAAUAAAAAACACAAUAUAAGUAAUCAAGCUUCCAAAACUAUAAUAUAGUAAUAUCUUGCUUGUAAUUCCUCUAAAAGGUAAGAAUAAUUACUGCCUGUAUAUUAAUAUCAAUAUGACAGCCAUUUUACCAACAAAUAAUUUCAAAUCAUUUUGAAUAAAAAUAUGAAAUAAAUUUAAAGUUUAAUUUUUUAGUAUGACCUAAAAGACAAACUUCAAAAAUGUGUAGUAAUCACAGAAAUUAACAUCAGGAAAACCUAAGGUCAAAAAUAAAACAUGCACAGAAUAAGAUCAUCUUUCUCAAAGUGAUUGAACUCUAAAGCUAUACACUAUGUAAAUCCCAUAUUAAAGAUUAGUAAGUUUGCCAUUCCACUUUUCUCUAACUUGAAUUAACUCUUUAGUGAUUAAAUAUUUUCCUGAGACUACAAGAAAUAAAAUAAUAUGUAAAAUCCAGUUAUUACUGAGCCACUGUCUGUCUCGUUGUUUCUUUGCUUAUUAGUAUUUCUUCAUAAUUAAGUAUACAUGUUCGAAAGAUAAUUAUGCUAAAAGUUCUCUCCUUGUCAACAGAAAAAUUAUAACACUUCCUCACCCUAUGCCACCAAUGAUCAGAGCUAACAGAGAAAACAGAUCAUUUGAAAGAUCAAUUGACAAUACAUAGUAAGAAAAGCUAGAUUGUAUUUAUUCUAAGUUCCAUGUUCUGACAGAAACUAAUUUCUGUUUCAAUGUGCUGUAUUUAACUCCAUUUUAUGAAAUCGGGCCCAUAAUAAACACUAUUUCAGGGGAAUUGCAUACUUUAUUUGGACACUCUACAGUAAAGUAGUAACAAUUAGGUAUAAUCCUAUGGGGGGGAAUCAAAGACAGAUAGCAAGACCUUGUAUUCAACAAUAUUAAAAUAAAAUGUCAGUUAUGAAAUAACUGAAAACAUGUCUAUAUUUCCUUUAAGCUAGUUGAGAGCAAAAGCAAUGUCUUAUUCUUGUUAAAUUACAAAAAAGCCUUCAUUGCUUUCAUUUCAGUUAUUGUAUUUUACAUCUCUUCUUGUUUAAGUUUUUUUAUCUUGUAUCUCUUUGCUCAGUGUUUCCUGUAAGUUAUCUAUCUUUGCCUCCAGUUUAUUUCCAAUGUCUUGCAUCAUCUUCAGCAUCAACAGUCUAAAGUCUUUUUCCUGGAAGCUGAGAAUCUCCUCAUCGCCUAGCUGAUUUUCUGGGGUUUUUCCUUUCUCCCUCAUCUGAGUUAUAGUUCUCUGUCUUUUCAUUUUUAUAGGUUUUUGGUGUGGUGACCUUUUCACAGAUAAUAGAGCUGUAGCCUCUCUUCCUUCUGGUGUCUGCCCCCCUUGUGGCUCAAGUCUGUAUGAGGGCUUGCUCUAGGCUUCCUGAUGGGAGGGACUGAUGCCUGCCCACUGGUAGGUGGAGUUGAUUCUAAUCCCUCUGGUGGGUGGGGCUUAGUCUGCGAUGGGAUUAGAGGCAGCUGUGUGCCUGAGGGGUGUAGCCUGUUUACUGAGGGGUGGGGCUGUGAUCCCACCAGGAUUGUUGUUUGCUUCUCAGCACAGACUGACAUGUGGGGCCAGAUUUUCCCAAAAUGGCCACCUCCAGAGAAAGGCACACUGCUGAAUAUUCCCGAGAGUUUUGCUUCCAACAUCCUUCCCUCACAACAAGCCACAUUCACCCCUGUUUUCCCAGGAUGUCCUCCAAGAACUGCAGUCAGGUUUGACCCAGAUUCCUAUGGAGACUUUGCUUUGCCCUUGGACCCAGUGAAUGUGAAAGUCUGUGUGAGCCUUUUAAGAAUGGGGCCUCUGUUUCCCCCAGUCCUGUGGAGCUCCUGUGCACAAGCCCCACUGGCCUUCAAUGCCAGAUGCUCCGGGGUCUGUUUCUCCCAGUGCUAGAUCCCCACAGGUGAGGGUUUGAUGUGGGGCUCAGAACUCCCACUCCUGUAGGUGAGUCUCUGUGAACCAGUUAGUAUCCAGUGUGGGGCUUCCCACCUGUGGGGUAUGGGGUUGUUAAUAUCAUGUAAUCACCCCUCCUACCUCUUGAUGUGUCCUCCUCUUUGUCUUCUGGAGUAGGAUAUCUUUUUUAAGGUUUCUGGUCCAUUUGGUUGAAGAUUGCUCAGCCUUUAGUUGUGAAUUUUGUUUUUAGGAGAGAAGUUGAGCUCCAGUCCUUCAGUUCUGCCAUCUUAAUCCCAUCUCCCCCCUUCAUUGCUUUCAAAAUUAGUAAGCAAUUGGUGUUUAUUUGUAUAUCUGACACAGCACUAAGUUUGGAAGAGUAAAAAUAAAAUGAAGUAUGUUUUAAUUAAAAUGAGUUGAAAGUUCUUUGAAGUAUUUUACCACAUAAACAAUUCAAGAAUUGAUUUAUGUAUUUUACACGUUUUCAAUGUGUUUUAAAAUGAUUGUAAAUGAAAAUGCACUUUAAAAAAAAUGAAAAGAGUGAGAAUUUCCUGGUGGCCCACAGAUUAGGAAUCCAGUGUUGCCACUGCAGUGGCCCAGCUCACUGCUGUGGUGUGGGCUUGAUCCCUGGCCCCAGAACUUUUGUGUGCCACAAACAUGGCCAAAAAAAAAAAAAAAAAGAAAAACAAAAACAAAAUCAAAAAUAUUCAAACAGAUAUGCAAGUGUUCAUAACUAAUAUAUUUAAAAGUUGAUAUACUUGUAUGUCCAAAUAAUUCAAAAAUAUCUAUACUAACCUAUGUAUCCAUGGUAAUAUUCUUUAUCUUUUUUUUUUUUUUUUAAAUGAACUUGUCUUUAAUUCUCUUCUAUGUUAUGUCUUCAGUUUGAGGGGUUAAUUUUUUUUUUUUUUUGGUCUUUUUAGGGCCACACCUGCAGCAUAUGGAGGUUCCCAGGUCAAUAUAUUACAAAUUCACUUUGUUUUGUAGAAGAUAUAAUACAAAGGGAUGCAGUUAUUUCAGAAUCACUUAUUAUUACUACUCAGGAAACAAAUCAGUGACCCUAGAAGCCCAUAAAUAAGUUAUGUAAUCAGGUCAUUCAGUGUUUAGGUUGAAUUCACCUUUGUCCAUGCAUGUAUUUUUUCAAUAAAUUAUAUAUAAAAUGAAAAAUUUAGUAUUAAAUUACCUGGUCCUAUUCU
rnacentral:lncRNA from 1 species